rnacentral:lncRNA from 1 species
CUUGUCGUUGGUACAUAAUGCCUCUCGUAUGAAGAUGAAAAGUGCUAGAUGCUGCAGGCAUAAGUUCACCGUAGACACACAGAGCCACUCGUGAUGGAUAACUUAUCAGACCCUUAGAAGGCCAUCGAGAGUAUAUGCCAUAGGCACAAGCACGCCAUCAGUACAUAAUGCUUCUCGUGCGAAGAUGAGAAGUACUAGAUGCUGCGGACACA